rnacentral:rRNA from 1 species
ACGAACGCUGGCGGCGUGCCUAAUACAUGCAAGUCGAACGCUUCUUUUUCCACCGGAGCUUGCUCCACCGGAAAAAGAGGAGUGGCGAACGGGUGAGUAACACGUGGGUAACCUGCCCAUCAGAAGGGGAUAACACUUGGAAACAGGUGCUAAUACCGUAUAACAAUCGAAACCGCAUGGUUUUGAUUUGAAAGGCGCUUUCGGGUGUCGCUGAUGGAUGGACCCGCGGUGCAUUAGCUAGUUGGUGAGGUAACGGCUCACCAAGGCGACGAUGCAUAGCCGACCUGAGAGGGUGAUCGGCCACAUUGGGACUGAGACACGGCCCAAACUCCUACGGGAGGCAGCAGUAGGGAAUCUUCGGCAAUGGACGAAAGUCUGACCGAGCAACGCCGCGUGAGUGAAGAAGGUUUUCGGAUCGUAAAACUCUGUUGUUAGAGAAGAACAAGGAUGAGAGUAACUGUUCAUCCCUUGACGGUAUCUAACCAGAAAGCCACGGCUAACUACGUGCCAGCAGCCGCGGUAAUACGUAGGUGGCAAGCGUUGUCCGGAUUUAUUGGGCGUAAAGCGAGCGCAGGCGGUUUCUUAAGUCUGAUGUGAAAGCCCCCGGCUCAACCGGGGAGGGUCAUUGGAAACUGGGAGACUUGAGUGCAGAAGAGGAGAGUGGAAUUCCAUGUGUAGCGGUGAAAUGCGUAGAUAUAUGGAGGAACACCAGUGGCGAAGGCGGCUCUCUGGUCUGUAACUGACGCUGAGGCUCGAAAGCGUGGGGAGCAAACAGGAUUAGAUACCCUGGUAGUCCACGCCGUAAACGAUGAGUGCUAAGUGUUGGAGGGUUUCCGCCCUUCAGUGCUGCAGCUAACGCAUUAAGCACUCCGCCUGGGGAGUACGACCGCAAGGUUGAAACUCAAAGGAAUUGACGGGGGCCCGCACAAGCGGUGGAGCAUGUGGUUUAAUUCGAAGCAACGCGAAGAACCUUACCAAGUCUUGACAUCCUCUUGACCGGUCAGUAAUGUGGCCUUUUCUUCGGAACAAGAGUGACAGGUGGUGCAUGGUUGUCGUCAGCUCGUGUCGUGAGAUGUUGGGUUAAGUCCCGCAACGAGCGCAACCCUUAUUGUUAGUUGCCAUCAUUUAGUUGGGCACUCUAGCAAGACUGCCGGUGACAAACCGGAGGAAGGUGGGGAUGACGUCAAAUCAUCAUGCCCCUUAUGACCUGGGCUACACACGUGCUACAAUGGGAAGUACAACGAGUCGCAAAGUCGCGAGGCUAAGCUAAUCUCUUAAAGCUUCUCUCAGUUCGGAUUGUAGGCUGCAACUCGCCUACAUGAAGCCGGAAUCGCUAGUAAUCGCGGAUCAGCACGCCGCGGUGAAUACGUUCCCGGGCCUUGUACACACCGCCCGUCACACCACGAGAGUUUGUAACACCCGAAGUCGGUGAGGUAACCUUUUGGAGCCAGCCGCCUAAGGUGGGAUAGAUGAUUGGGGUG